rnacentral:rRNA from 1 species
UACGUAGGGGGCAAGCGUUGUCCGGAAUCAUUGGGCGUAAAGAGCGUGUAGGCGGCCAGAUAAGUCCGCUGUGAAAUCUCGAGGCUCAACUUCGAGCUGUCGGUGGAAACUGUCUGGCUAGAGUCCGGAAGAGGAGAAUGGAAUUCCUGGUGUAGCGGUGAAAUGCGCAGAGUAUCAGGAAGAACACCCGUGGCGAAGGCGGUUCUCUGGGACGGUACUGACGCUGAGACGCGAAAGCGUGGGAGCGAACAGG